UACGUAGGGGGCAAGCGUUGUCCGGAAUCAUUGGGCGUAAAGCGCGUGUAGGCGGCUUGGUAAGUCCGCUCUGAAAGCCCGGGGCUCAACCCCGGGAGGCGGGUGGAUACUGUCAAGCUCGAGUCCGGAAGAGGCGAGUGGAAUUCCUGGUGUAGCGGUGAAAUGCGCAGAUAUCAGGAGGAACACCAAUGGCGAAGGCGGCUCACUGGACCGGUACUGACGCUGAGGCGCGAAAGCGUGGGGAGCAAACGGG
rnacentral:rRNA from 1 species